rnacentral:rRNA from 1 species
UACGUAGGGUGCAAGCGUUGUCCGGAAUUAUUGGGCGUAAAGAGCUCGUAGGCGGUUUGUUGCGUCGGCUGUGAAAUCCCGAGGCUCAACCUCGGGUCUGCAGUCGAUACGAGCAAACUAGAGUGUUGCAGGGGAGACUGGAAUUCCUGGUGUAGCGGUGAAAUGCGCAGAUAUCAGGAGGAAACACCGGUGGCGAAGGCGGCUUGCUGGGCCUUACCUGACGCUGGAGGAGCGAAAGCGUGGGGAGCGAACAGG